rnacentral:rRNA from 1 species
UACAGAGGGGGCAAGCGUUAUUCGGAAUUAUUGGGCGUAAAGGGCGCGUAGGCGGCUUUGCAAGUGACGGGUGAAAUCCCUCGGCUUAACCGAGGAACUGCCUGUCAAACUGCAUGGCUUGAGCACGGGAGAGGUGAGUGGAAUUCCCAGUGUAGCGGUGAAAUGCGUAGAUAUUGGGAGGAACACCAGUGGCGAAGGCGGCUCACUGGACCGGUACUGACGCUGGAGGCGACGAAGCGGUG